rnacentral:rRNA from 1 species
CUUUACUGUAACCUGGAAUUGGGUUCGGGCUCUUCUUGCGCAGCCUAGGUGGGAGGCGUUGAAAGCUUUCUUUUGGGGAAGCUGGAGCCAUCAGUGAGAGACCACUCUGGAGGAGCUAGAAUUCUAAUGGCGUUCCUUGAGGCAGGACGCUUGACAGUUUCAGGUGGGCAGUUUGACUGGGGCGGUCACCUCCUAAAAGGUAACGGAGGUGUGCAAAGGUUCCCUCAGGCUGGACGGAAAUCAGCCGUAGAGUGUAAAGGCAGAAGGGAGCUUGACUGCAAGACCUACAAGUCGAGCAGGGGCGAAAGCCGGCCUUAGUGAUCCGACGGUUCCAUGUGGAAGGGCCGUCGCUCAACGGAUAAAAGUUA